rnacentral:rRNA from 1 species
GACGAACGCUGGCGGCGUGCUUAACACAUGCAAGUCGAACGCUGAAGCACCAGCUUGCUGGUUUGGAUGAGUGGCGCACGGGUGAGUAAUACGUGAGUAACCUGCCCUUGACUCUGGGAUAUGCCCGCGAAACUGGGUCUAAUACUGGAUGCUACAUGUCACCGCAUGGUGUUGUGUGGAAAAGGUUUACUUGUCUUUGAUUGGCUCACGGCCUAUCAGCUUGUUGGUGAGAUAAUGGCUCACCAAGUCGACGACGGGUAGCCGCACUGAGGGGGUGAGAGGCCAUACUGGGACUGAGACACGGCACAGACUGCGAAGGGAGGCAGCAGUGGGGAAGAUUGCACAAGGGGCGAAAGCCUGAUGCAGAGACGCUGCGGGAGGGAUGACGGCCUUCGGGGUGUAAACCUAAUGCAGCAGGGAAGAAGCAAGAAGUGACGGUACCUGCAGAAGAAGCGCCGGCUAACUACGUG